rnacentral:rRNA from 1 species
UACAGAGGGGGCAAGCGUUAUUCGGAAUUAUUGGGCGUAAAGGGCGCGUAGGCGGCCUGAUAAGUAGGGGGUGAAAUCCUGCGGCUUAACCGCAGGGCUGCCUUCUAAACUGUCAGGCUGGAGCACAGCAGAGGCAGGUGGAAUUCCCGGUGUAGCGGUGGAAUGCGUAGAGAUCGGGAAGAACAUCAGUGGCGAAGGCGGCCUGCUGGGCUGUUGCUGACGCUGAGGCGCGACAGCGUGGGGAGCAAACAGG